rnacentral:rRNA from 1 species
UCUUUGGAGAGUUUGAUCCUGGCUCAGGACGAACGCUGGCGGCGUGCCUAAUACAUGCAAGUCGAGCGGACCAAACGAGGGCUUGCUCUUGUUUGGUCAGCGGCGGACGGGUGAGUAACACGUGGGCAACCUGCCCGCAAGACCGGGAUAACUCCGGGAAACCGGAGCUAAUACCGGAUAACACCGAAGACCGCAUGGUCUUCGGUUGAAAGGCGGCCUUUGGGCUGUCACUUGCGGAUGGGCCCGCGGCGCAUUAGCUAGUUGGUGAGGUAACGGCUCACCAAGGCGACGAUGCGUAGCC